rnacentral:rRNA from 2 species
GGAGCUUGCUCCAGCAGGUUAGCGGCGGACGGGUGAGUAACACGUGGGCAACCUGCCUGUAAGACUGGGAUAACUCCGGGAAACCGGAGCUAAUACCGGAUAGUAUCUUGAACCGCAUGGUUCAAGUUGGAAAGACGGUUUCGGCUGUCACUUACAGAUGGGCCCGCGGCGCAUUAGCUAGUUGGUGAGGUAAUGGCUCACCAAGGCAACGAUGCGUAGCCGACCUGAGAGGGUGAUCGGCCACACUGGGACUGAGACACGGCCCAGACUCCUACGGGAGGCAGCAGUAGGGAAUCUUCCGCAAUGGACGAAAGUCUGACGGAGCAACGCCGCGUGAGUGAUGAAGGUUUUCGGAUCGUAAAACUCUGUUGUUAGGGAAGAACAAGUGCGAGAGUAACUGCUCGCACCUUGACGGUACCUAACCAGAAAGCCACGGCUAACUACGUGCCAGCAGCCGCGGUAAUACGUAGGUGGCAAGCGUUGUCCGGAAUUAUUGGGCGUAAAGCGCGCGCAGGCGGUUUCUUAAGUCUGAUGUGAAAGCCCCCGGCUCAACCGGGGAGGGUCAUUGGAAACUGGGAAACUUGAGUGCAGAAGAGGAGAGUGGAAUUCCACGUGUAGCGGUGAAAUGCGUAGAGAUGUGGAGGAACACCAGUGGCGAAGGCGACUCUCUGGUCUGUAACUGACGCUGAGGCGCGAAAGCGUGGGGAGCGAACAGGAUUAGAUACCCUGGUAGUCCACGCCGUAAACGAUGAGUGCUAAGUGUUAGAGGGUUUCCGCCCUUUAGUGCUGCAGCUAACGCAUUAAGCACUCCGCCUGGGGAGUACGGUCGCAAGACUGAAACUCAAAGGAAUUGACGGGGGCCCGCACAAGCGGUGGAGCAUGUGGUUUAAUUCGAAGCAACGCGAAGAACCUUACCAGGUCUUGACAUCCUUUGCCACUUCUAGAGAUAGAAGGUUCCCCUUCGGGGGACAAAGUGACAGGUGGUGCAUGGUUGUCGUCAGCUCGUGUCGUGAGAUGUUGGGUUAAGUCCCGCAACGAGCGCAACCCUUGAUCUUAGUUGCCAGCAUUCAGUUGGGCACUCUAAGGUGACUGCCGGUGACAAACCGGAGGAAGGUGGGGAUGACGUCAAUCAUCAUGCCCCUUAUGACC